rnacentral:rRNA from 1 species
UUUGUGGAGUCGCUGUUGAAAUACGGCCCUUUGAUUAUUUGAGUUCUAACUCGUGGUACGAGGACACUGUUUGGUGGGUAGUUUGACUGGGGUGGUCGCCUCCAAAAUAGUAACGGAGGCUUCUAAAGGUGCCCUCAGGCCGAUUGGUAACCGGCCGCAGAGUGUAAUGGCACAAGCGCGCUUGACUGGGAGACCAACAAGUCGAUCAGGUAGGAAACUAGAGCAUAGUGAUCCGGUGGUUCCGCAUGGAAGGGCCAUCGCUCAAAGGAUAAAAGGUACU